rnacentral:sRNA from 1 species
AUAUUGCUUAAACACUUGAGGAAAGAAGACCUAGAAGGCUUUAGGAAAGACAGAGUAAUAUUUUGCUGGUGUAGAGGGCCUGCUCUUCCGAGACAAGUACUUGCUUUUCAUUUUGAUCAGCCGUCUGCACUUAAAAGCCUCCUAGCUAGGGACAUGUUAAUUAAACAGUCUGGGGCUCAGUGCUGCCAUCCGUAAAUGGGAGGAUUAGAGAAAUAAUAUACACAAGUACCUGGUACAUACCAAAUAUGAUAGAAGAUAUCUUCAACCUUUAGCUAUAAGAAGAAUGGAAAAUGAAAAAGAGACAGGUGGAGAGACGGAGGGAGAUGAGAGCUGCAUGGAGCUGGUAUGCUGGUUAGGAGGUAGGAAAUAAUGAGGCCUCGACCAUCUGAGAUACAGAAGUCUCCCUGCUGAAUCGAAAGGAAGUGCUACAAUAUUCUUUCAAAUUCAUCGCAGUUGAGAGAAAACUGGAGCAGAGUGUCAUAUCAAGAAAGGGCUUCACCAGGAUGAUCAAUGCAAAUGGAUAUGGAGCUUUAUUGGAAUGAAACAUUAUCCCGUAACACCAGGUAUACAUACAUGAAGAGUGGCUUCAGGACUGGAUCCAUUGCUGUUUACAUGGGCCCAUUAAAUGGAGUUAUGACUAUUUUCUAGUUUAUGAACUGGGAAGUAACAGCCCUCCACAGAGAAACUGGAAGGGAAUUGCUAUUGCUCUGCUGGUGAUUUUAGUUGUAUGCUCACUCAUCACUAUGUCAGUCAUCCUCUUAACCCCAGAUGAACUCACAAAUUCAUCAGAAACCAGGUUGUCUUUGGAAGACCUCUUUAGGAAAGACUUUGUGCUUCACGAUCCAGAGGCUCGGUGGAUCAAUGAUACAGAUGUGGUGUAUAAAAGCGAGAAUGGACAUGUCAUUAAACUGAAUAUAGAAACAAAUGCUACCACAUUAUUAUUGGAAAACACAACUUUUGUAACCUUCAAAGCAUCAAGACAUUCAGUUUCACCAGAUUUAAAAUAUGUCCUUCUGGCAUAUGAUGUCAAACAGGAGAGCAAUGGAGACAGAGUUGCUUAUCCAAGGGCAGUCUAGCAAGUGGCAGAGCUGGGGUGUGAGUCCAGGCAGUUUUGUUCCAGAGUCCGUGCUCUUGGUCACCUUACUUUGAUGCAUAUUCUCCACCAGCACACUUUGAGAAACACCACAGUAAGGAAUACGCACACAGAUGUGACAACUGCCCCUAUAAAGCAAAUCAUUCCUGUCAAUUAUGGAUACCUGUCUCAUUUAUUGAAAACCUACUUUGUGCCAAGGACUCUGGUAGACAGACAAGUUUUUUAAAGCAUUACAAAAUAAGUGUGAAAAACAAAAUCCUAAGUGAGUCUUGAUUAACCCAGUUGGGUCUCUCUGUGGCCUAAUGGUGGAACCAAAUGAUGUAGCAGAAGGAAAGCAAUGUUUCUGUGUUUCCAAAUGCUCAAACUGCUUCUGAGUACACCCUGGGCUCCAUCCAGUGCAGAACUUAAGAAUUUGCUCCUAUGUUUUUUACUUUUUCUUUUAAACCAGUAUUUAUUUGGAAACAAUUUCAAAUUGACAGAUAAUAUUUAAAGAAUAAGAAUAGUAUAAAAGACCUUCAUAUACAUUUCACUCAGAAUCACUGACCAUUAACAUUUUACCUCAUUAGGUCCAACAUUUGCAAAUUCUCUCUCUCUCAGUUUCUCUCUGUCCACAUAACAUAUAUACAUUUUUUAAAAAUUAAUUUUAAUUUUUGUUUUAAGCUUCAGGGUAUGUGUGUACAGGAAGUGCAGGUUCAUUACAUAGGUAAAUGUGUGCCAUAAUGUUUUGCUGCACCUAUGAACUCAUCACCUAGGUAUUAAGCCCAGCAUGCAUUGACUAUUUUUCCUAAUGCUCUCCCUCCCCCACUCCACCCCCUGGCAGGCCCCAGUGUGUGUUGUUCCCCUCCCUGUGUCCAUGUUUUCUCAUUGUUCAGCUCCCACUUAUAAGUGAGACCAUGUGGUGUUUGGUUUUCUGUUUCUGCCUUAGUUUGCUAGCUCUACCCAUGCCCCUGCAAAGGAUAUGGUCUUGUUCCUUUUUAUGGUUGCAUAGUAUUCCACAGUAUGUACACCAUUUUUUAAACAUUAGUGUCAUUAGCAUUUUCUUAUGGGGGAAGUACUGGUACUUUGUCCCAGC